rnacentral:rRNA from 1 species
GAAUCUGGAGACAGGUGCUGCAUGGCUGUCGUCAGCUCGUGUCGUGAGAUGUUGGGUUAAGUCCCGCAACGAGCGCAACCCUUGCCUUUAGUUGCCAGCAGUUCGGCUGGGCACUCUAAAGGGACUGCCGGUGUUAAACCGGAGGAAGGUGGGGAUGACGUCAAGUCCUCAUGGCCUUUAUGACCAGGGCUACACACGUACUACAAUGGCCGAUACAAAGGCAGCGACACUGCGAGGUGAAGCCAACUCCCGUAAAAUCGGUCUCAGUCCGGAUUGGAGUCUGCAACUCGACUCCAUGAAGUUGGAAUCGCUAGUAAUCGUGGAUCAGCAUGCCACGGUGAAUACGUUCCCGGGCCUU